ACGAACGCUGGCGGCGUGCUUAACACCUGCAAGUCGAACGGAAAGGCCCUGCUUUUGUGGGGUGCUCGAGUGGCGAACGGGUGAGUAACACGUGAGUAACCUGCCCUUGACUUUGGGAUAACUUCAGGAAACUGGGGCUAAUACCGGAUAGGAGCUCCUGCUGCAUGGUGGGGGUUGGAAAGUUUCGGCGGUUGGGGAUGGACUCGCGGCUUAUCAGCUUGUUGGUGGGGUAGUGGCUUACCAAGGCUUUGACGGGUAGCCGGCCUGGGAGGGUGACCGGCCACAUUGGGACUGAGAUACGGCCCAGACUCCUACGGGAGGCAGCAGUGGGGAAUAUUGCACAAUGGGCGGAAGCCUGAUGCAGCAACGCCGCGUGCGGGAUGACGGCCUUCGGGUUGUAAACCGCUUUCGCCUGUGACGAAGCGUGAGUGACGGUAAUGGGUAAAGAAGCACCGGCUAACUACGU
rnacentral:rRNA from 1 species